rnacentral:lncRNA from 10 species
GCACGACUUCCCCCGGCCCGCGGCCUGUGAGCCCAGGUCCUGGGGUGAACCGAGCGCUCGCUCGUUCGUCAGACCGUAGCGCUCCAGCGGCUGUCCUUACUGUGUAGUAGCCAAAGCUGAGGGUGAUGACUGUGAACCAGAACAGACUGCCUCGCUGAAAGCAGUAAACUAUUGUCCUUAUUUCAAAGAAGAAGAAACAGCACAGGGUCCUGUCAUGCCCAAGUGGGUGAGGAAUACUGGAAAACAAUUGGCAGCUGAGUGUUCCAGUUCCAGAGAGGGCACUCUGGAACCAACCAAGGUUCUCUUUCCUCAUUUUUUACAGUCACUUGGAACUCUUCUGUGGCAUCUGAAGCAGAUGGACGAAGCCAAGAGGGCCGAGAGUAUCUCAGCACCUAGAAAUGGACAAGGCUGGUUAUUAGAACAAAGAUUUCGCAGGUGGUGAGUCUCAAAGGCGAAGCUGAAUGGAUCUCCCAUUAACCAGUCAUAAUGAAGUAAGAACAAGAAGAUGGGGAAGAGGAAGUGUAAAACCGUGGCUUAAAUUUGCCAAGGAUAAGCUGAGUGUACUUCAGCAGUCAUUUGCACAGAAUCCUUAUCCUAAUUUUACAACCAGGGAAAAACUGGCUGGACAGUCUCUUGUCCUGUGUUUGUAAUUGAUAACUGGUUUCAAAAUAAAAGCCAGACCACCACUUAGAGAGAGACACAGAAUGUUCACUGCCAGGGAACUGCAUGAUUCCUCUGCCAAAGGCCACCCAUUUACAAGAAUCCAGGAAAACCAGGUGGAAUCUCCCAAUGAUGACCCUGAGCAGAACUUCUUGUACCCAGGAAGUUCUACUGGGUGGAGCUGGCCACUCUUCCGUGGAGACACAGGGGACUCCCAAUUAACAUGAUGGCUCAAAUAACUGUAGCCUUAUGGAUUAAAAGGAAACUAAGCUGUGAUUUGGAGUAUCCAGGUGAUACAGAAAAUGGCCCUUGUCGAUGUAGAUCAGCAUUAUUUCCUUAUCCUUCUGCAUCUCCUCCUCAGUAUUCUGAAAGGGACAAGCCUGAGAUGGGGGAAAGCCAGCAUGCAAGGCCCUCCCCUUUGUGCUGUGUUCAUGGUGUGCACGGAGAGAGGCAGCAGCAGGAGGAACAGAAAGGUUAUUUUCUUUACUGACUCUUUCAAGGACAUCAGCAGAAUGGUUGGGAAUGUCAUCAUGAGCAGCCUCAGCCUCAGAAUUACCAGGAGAAGCUGGUCUUCCAGGAUCAGGUUCUAAUGUAUAUGAGUCACAGGAUUUAGGGAAGCAGGCACUUUCCCUUCAGUCCCAGCAGCAUGGUUGAUGUUCCCAAGUAAUGGAGAGUCCCUGUGCUCUC